CGGGCAUUUUCGGAUGUCAGCGGCAGACGGGUGAGUAACACGUGGGAACGUACCCUUCGGUUCGGAACAACUCUGGGAAACUGGAGCUAAUACCGGAUACGCCCUUAUGGGGAAAGGUUUACUGCCGAAGGAUCGGCCCGCGUCUGAUUAGCUAGUUGGUGGGGUAACGGCCUACCAAGGCGACGAUCAGUAGCUGGUCUGAGAGGAUGAUCAGCCACACUGGGACUGAGACACGGCCCAG
rnacentral:rRNA from 1 species